rnacentral:rRNA from 1 species
GAUUUCUGGUUUGACGUACCUGUCCCGCGGCGGUAACGCUUGUGAGUGACGGAGUGGGUCUGCCUUCCUUCUAGAGAACACGGCUAUCCUUUACUGGACUGGUCGUGUCAUCUAGAUCUUUUACUUUGAAAAAAUUAGAGUGUUUCAAGCAGGCGUUUUGCUAUGAAUACAUUAGCAUGGAAUAAUGAGUUAGGACUUCGGUUCUAUUUUGUUGGUUUCUAGGACUGAAGUAAUGAUUGAUAGGGAUAGUUGGGGGUGCUAGUAUUCAGCGGCCAGAGGUGAAAUUCUUGGAUUCGCUGAAGACUAACUUAUGCGAAAGCAUU